ACCCUCCUCUCCAGCAAGUGGAAAGUGUGUGUCUCGUCCUCACACAGGAAUGACUGUAGAGGACCACAGGGCGACUUCUAGGCAGCCCCCAGAAGGCUGGCCCUGGGCAGCAGGAACUCGUUCUGCCCCAGCUGAGGUUCUGGGCCUCAUCACUAAUGACCCACAGCAGCCAAAGUCAGCCCUCGGGAAGAUGGAAAAUGAAUGAAGGGCAGCUCUGCCCAAAGCAGCGGACCAGAAUCCAGUCCUUCCAUGAGACCUCGGUGCACACAGAACUCCUCCUACCACGUGCAACCUUAUUCUUGGCUGAGCAACUCAUAAAUCGCUUAACAAAA
rnacentral:lncRNA from 1 species